GUUGGUGUUGUGUGGGAAGUAGUUCACAAAGGUGUACCCGCGCGCCUGGUCGAUGAUGUGGAACAGCGGGUUCCAAUCGAACAUGUUGAUCAUGAAACCCGGCAACAUGUUGGCCACGAACAUCUUGCCUGACGCGAUCAUGUUGGCGCGG
rnacentral:ncRNA from 1 species